rnacentral:misc_RNA from 1 species
UCCAUGGCUCUCAGAUUCCCUGCUCAGGCAGCAGGUGCCGUGGGUGGUGCAUUGGCGAUUUUGGAGGUGAUGCCACCACAGUAUAAGCACAUGCUUGGAGGCCCUACUUUGAAAGUUGACUUGCAUACAGGAGCCAUUGCCGAGGGGUUGUUGACAUUUUUAAUUAGCUUUGCUGUUCUUAUAAUUUUCCUUAGGGGCCCUUGUAACUCGAUAGUGCAAAAUUGGUUGCUUGCUGUUGUGACUGUAACAUUGGUUGUUACAGGUUCCAAAUACACUGGGCCUUCCAUGAAUCCUGCUAAUGCUUUUGGGUGGGCAUAUGUAAACAAAUGGCAUGAUACAUGGGAACAAUUCUACGUUUAUUGGAUUUGCCCCUUCAUAGGAGCAAUAUUGGCUGCUUGGGUCUUUCGCCUGGUCUUCCCCCCACCAGCACCAAAACAGAAGGAAGCCUGAAAAUGUACGGUUAGCUCAUUUUAAUUACAUAUGCCCACCCAAAAGCAUUAGCA